rnacentral:rRNA from 1 species
GAUGAACGCUGGCGGCGUGCCUAAUACAUGCAAGUCGAGCGAACGGACGAGAAGCUUGCUUCUCUGAUGUUAGCGGCGGACGGGCGAGUAACACGUGGAUAACCUACCUAUAAGACUGGGAUAACUUCGGGAAACCGGAGCUAAAACCGGAGGAUAUUUUGAACCGUAUGGUUCAAAAGUGAAAGAUGGUCUUGCUGUCACUUAUAGAUGGAUUCGCGCUGCAUUAGCUAGUUGGUAAGGUAACGGCUUACCAAGGCAACGAUGCAUAGCCGACCUGAGAGGGUGAUCGGCCACCCUGGAGCUGAGGCACGCUCCCGACUCCUAAGGGAGGCAGCAGUGGGGAACCUUCCGCAGUGGGCGAAAGCGUAGCGGAGAAACGCCGCGUGAGUGAUGUAGGUCUUCGGAUCGUAAAACUCUGUUAUUAGGGAAGAACAUAUGUCUAAGUACCUGUACACAACUUGACGGUACCUAAUCAGAAAGCCACGGCUAACUACGUG